rnacentral:misc_RNA from 1 species
GUAGGUGAACCUGCGGAAGGAUCAUUAAAAAUAAUAAAGAUUGGCAGGUUAUAAACACCCAAAAAUCGCAAGUUAUUCACUACCCUACUGUCUAUUCAAUUCUUCUAUUUCUUUGGCAUAUAUAUAUUCAAUAUAAGCCUAUUACAAGGCUAAAGAUAUAUAUAUAUGUCAGUGGAACAAGCCUAAAUAUCAUGUGUAAUAUAAUAUAGUCUGAGUUGAUAAAUAUAUAAUAUUUUAAAAACUUUCAACA